rnacentral:sRNA from 1 species
GCCAGGGGAGGUGGGGCACGCCUGUAAUCCCAGCAGCUCUGGAGGCUGAGGCAGGAGGAUCGUGAGUUCAAAGCCAGCCUCAGCAAAAGUGAGGCUCUAAGCAACUCAGUGAGGCCCUGUCUCUA